UACGGAGGGGGCUAGCGUUGUUCGGAAUUACUGGGCGUAAAGCGCGCGUAGGCGGCUUUGUAAGUUAGAGGUGAAAGCCCGGAGCUCAACUCCGGAACUGCCUUUAAGACUGCAUCGCUAGAAUUGUGGAGAGGUGAGUGGAAUUCCGAGUGUAGAGGUGAAAUUCGUAGAUAUUAGGAGGAACACCAGUGGCGAAAGCGACUGUCUGGACCAUUACUGACGCUGAGGCGCGAAAGCGUGGGGAGCAAACAGG
rnacentral:rRNA from 1 species